AACCUUAUGGACCUGCGGGCGUAUACCUGCGGAAGGAUCAUUACAUUAGGAACGCCGUGAGGAGUUGGUUUCCGUUACCCUUUCCAGGGCCUCAACUCCCUCUCCGGGACCGGGGGGCUUCUGGGACUGGUUCAACCCUUUGUGAACCGAAAAAGACCUUUCGCUUCGGCAGCUGGGCUUGGUGGCCUGUCAGCCUGCCGCUAGCACCAACCAACCUUUCAACCUGUUGCUGAACAUUGU
rnacentral:misc_RNA from 1 species